rfam:Camelus ferus unplaced genomic scaffold scaffold1558, whole genome shotgun sequence.
GAGGGUAUAGCUCAGUGAUAGACUGCAUGUUUAGCAUCCAUGAGGUCCUGGGUUCAAUCCCCAGUACCUCCA